rnacentral:rRNA from 1 species
UACAGAGGGGGCAAGCGUUGUUCGGAAUUACUGGGCGUAAAGGGCUCGUAGGCGGCCAACUAAGUCGGACGUGAAAGCCCCGGGCUCAACCUGGGAAUUGCAUUCGAGACUGAAUAGCUAGGGUACGGUAGAGGGAAGCGGAAUUUCCGGUGUAGCGGUGAAAUGCGUAGAUAUCGGAAGGAACAUCAGUGGCGAAAGCGGCUUCCUGGACCAGUACCGACGUUCAGGCACGAAAGCGUGGGGAGCAAACAGG